CCUACGGGGGGCAGCAGUGAGGAAUAUUGGUCAAUGGACGAGAGUCUGAACCAGCCAAGUAGGGUGAAGGAUGACUGCCCUAUGGGUUGUAAACUUCUUUUAUAUGGGAAUAAAAUGUUCCACGUGUGGGAUUUUGUAUGUACCAUAUGAAUAAGGAUCGGCUAACUCCGUGCCAGCAGCCGCGGUAAUACGGAGGAUCCGAGCGUUAUCCGGAUUUAUUGGGUUUAAAGGGAGCGUAGGUGGAUUGUUAAGUCAGUUGUGAAAGUUUGCGGCUCAACCGUAAAAUUGCAGUUGAAACUGGCAGUCUUGAGUACAGUAGAGGUGGGCGGAAGUCGUGGUGUAGCGGUGAAAUGCUUAGAUAUCACGAAGAACUCCGAUUGCGAAGGCAGUUCACUGGACUGCAACUGACACUGAGGCUCGAAAGUGUGGGUAUCAAACAGGAUUAGAUACCCCAGUAGUC
rnacentral:rRNA from 1 species